ACUUGCCUGCUAAUCUUGUUCUCGAUCCGCUUGAGCUGAACCCUACCUCUCCCCAUUUCUCGGACUUGUCUUGAAUUUCAGGUACCAAGAAGGCAAAAUUAAGCAAGAAAGAAAAGAAAAAAAAAAAAACUAUUAAAGGAACCCUAACUACAUAGACAAAUUUGGAGGUUCAUUGCAAGAGAAGAAAUGCAAGAAGAGGAAGCAUAGAAAAGAAAAAAGAAUUAUGAUAAGUUAUUAGAGGAAAGCUUCUAUUUUUGUGUUGGUGAGGUUUUCUUGUUAUUGUAUGAAGCAAAGGUGUGGUGUAUUAUACAUAUGGAAAAAGAAAGGAAUAGUGUAGGAGCUACUGUAGAGAUAUAUAUAUAUAUAUUUGGGGAAAUUAAUAAAUGGGUAAUAAUGGAAAAACAGAAGUGGUAUUAAAAGAGAAAGUGCUGUCGAGGUGGGAUUGGAGGAGAGUGGUUUAGAUGCAGAGGGUGAAGGGUUGUCCGUACAUGAUCCAGAGGUGUCAGCGGCCGGCUGUGCCUGUGGUUAUGGGAGGGGAACUUUGCUUUGCAGCAGCG
rnacentral:misc_RNA from 1 species